rnacentral:rRNA from 1 species
UACGAAGGGGGCUAGCGUUGUUCGGAAUCACUGGGCGUAAAGCGCACGUAGGCGGAUUCUUAAGUCAGGGGUGAAAUCCCGAGGCUCAACCUCGGAACUGCCUUUGAUACUGGAGAUCUUGAGUCCGGAAGAGGUAAGUGGAACUGCGAGUGUAGAGGUGAAAUUCGUAGAUAUUCGCAAGAACACCAGUGGCGAAGGCGGCUUACUGGUCCGGAACUGACGCUGAGGUGCGAAAGCGUGGGGAGCAAACAGG